rnacentral:rRNA from 2 species
UGCAGUCGAGCGGAUGAAGGAGCUUGCUCCUGGAUUCAGCGGCGGACGGGUGAGAAAGGCCUAGGAAUCUGCCUGGUAGUGGGGGACAACGUUUCGAAAGGAACGCUAAUACCGCAUACGUCCUACGGGAGAAAGCAGGGGACCUUCGGGCCUUGCGCUAUCAGAUGAGCCUAGGUCGGAUUAGCUAGUUGGUGAGGUAAUGGCUCACCAAGGCGACGAUCCGUAACUGGUCUGAGAGGAUGAUCAGUCACACUGGAACUGAGACACGGUCCAGACUCCUACGGGAGGCAGCAGUGGGGAAUAUUGGACAAUGGGCGAAAGCCUGAUCCAGCCAUGCCGCGUGUGUGAAGAAGGUCUUCGGAUUGUAAAGCACUUUAAGUUGGGAGGAAGGGUUGUAGAUUAAUACUCUGCAAUUUUGACGUUACCGACAGAAUAAGCACCGGCUAACUCUGUGCCAGCAGCCGCGGUAAUACAGAGGGUGCAAGCGUUAAUCGGAAUUACUGGGCGUAAAGCGCGCGUAGGUGGUUUGUUAAGUUGGAUGUGAAAUCCCCGGGCUCAACCUGGGAACUGCAUCCAAAACUGGCAAGCUAGAGUAUGGUAGAGGGUGGUGGAAUUUCCUGUGUAGCGGUGAAAUGCGUAGAUAUAGGAAGGAACACCAGUGGCGAAAGGCGACCACCUGGACUGAUACUGACACUGAGGUGCGAAAGCGUGGGGAGCAAACAGGAUUAGAUACCCUGGUAGUCCACGCCGUAACGAUGUCAACUAGCCGUUGGGAGCCUUGAGCUCUUAGUGGCGCAGCUACGCAUUAAGUUGACGCCUG